rnacentral:rRNA from 1 species
GACGAACGCUGGCGGCGUGCCUAAUACAUGCAAGUAGAACGCUGAAGAGAGGAGCUUGCUCUUCUUGGAUGAGUUGCGAACGGGUGAGUAACGCGUAGGUAACCUGCCUGGUAGCGGGGGAUAACUAUUGGAAACGAUAGCUAAUACCGCAUGAUAUUAAUUGUCGCAUGAUAAUUAAUUGAAAGAUGCAAUUGCAUCACUACCAGAUGGACCUGCGUUGUAUUAGCUAGUUGGUGAGGUAACGGCUCACCAAGGCGACGAUACAUAGCCGACCUGAGAGGGUGAUCGGCCACACUGGGACUGAGACACGGCCCAGACUCCUACGGGAGGCAGCAGUAGGGAAUCUUCGGCAAUGGGGGGAACCCUGACCGAGCAACGCCGCGUGAGUGAAGGAGGUUUUCGGAUCGUAAAGCUCUGUUGUAAGAGAAGAACGGGUGUGAGAGUGGAAAGUUCACACUGUGACGGUAUCUUACCAGAAAGGGACGGCUAACUACGUGCCAGCAGCCGCGGUAAUACGUAGGUCCCGAGCGUUGUCCGGAUUUAUUGGGCGUAAAGC